AUGAAGCGGAAGAAGAACGUCUCUCCUCAUCCUCAUCCUCCAUACAUGAACAACAUGAUGCGGCAUCUCAUCCCACAGGCUGUAAUAUUGUGCUUUAGUGUGAUAAUCAGCGCUCAGGACGACUUCAACCUGACUCAGAGGCCUUAUGUGGUCCUGCAGAAACAGAACUUAGUAACGUUGGGGAGUGUCCUCGCUGUCCUGCUGCUGAUGAUGAUCAUCAUGGCUGUCUGUGUCUACAAACCUCUGGCUCGUCGCUAAAUCUGGACUGAAACAUAAGACAAAUCUUGUGGUUGAAGCUGCAAUGCGAGUAGAAACCAGCAGUGGGCAGCACAACUGGGCAUCAACACCUCUCUAACUGAAGGCCUCAGUUAAAGUAUGCUGCAGCUGAACAGCUAAAAAUGAUCAAUUAUCCAUCAAUUUGCAGAUAGCAAUGAAAGAUUAUAUGCACCUGACAGAUUAUCUGCCCAUUUUAAGAGAACGUGGAAGGCAUCAUCACUCGGCAUCAAAACGGGCUCACAUGCAAGGAAACUGCUUUCAAGUAUUUGAAAGCAAAUUCAGCGCAAUUUUCAGUGCCUGAUCAACGCCUGAAAGAAUAGUUUUCAGCAUUAUCAACAAGUUCAAGUUGACAGGUUCAAUUGCAGCAAAGAAAGCCCAAGAACCUCCAAGAUCAGGAUGCCCUCCUCCUGAAGAGUGUGCUACAGGACGGUGUUGCCACCAGGGCAUGGCUUGCUCAAAAUUGGCAGCAGGUUAAUGUAAGCACGUAUGUGCACACUUUUAGGCAAGACUGUCGGACAAUGGUCUUGUGACAAGUAUGGCUGUAAAUAAGCUGCUUCUAUCCAAAGAAAACAUCAAGGAGAGACUGGUUUUCUGCAGGAAGUACGAUAAGUGGACUGCACACGACUGGUGCAAAGUUAUUUUCUCCAAUGUAUCCAUCUUGUCUAUGAAAUCUGGAAAAUAAUUUGUCUAGAGAAGAAAAUGGUAGUUAAACAGAGUGUUAUUCUGAGCUGUAUAUUGUGCAAGCAGCGAUAGAUCCUGAUGCAAUCUAUGUGCGGCUGCUUCUUAUCCAGGGGAGUUGGCUCCCUCACUGUUCUACCCAAGGACAACUCCAUGACUGAAAAUUGGUAUCAAAAUGUCCUCCCGGAGAAGAUUCUUCCAACAAACCAGGCACACUCUGCUGAUGAUCAGUGUAUUUUCCAGCAUGACGGAGCACCGUGACACAAGGUAGAAGUGAUUAUGAAGUGGCUCAGAUCAUGAUGUUGAAGAUUUGGACCUGUGGCCAGAAAACCCUCCAGAUCUCACUCCUAUUGAGCAAACUGUGGUCAGUUCUCAGGAAUACUAACUAGUCACGGGUCUUUGUGAGAUUCUCCUACUGCUGGAAAACAAUGUAACCUAUGGAUUAUUUUAGCUGUAAUAAUAUUAUAUAUAAAAUGUAUUUAUGUUCAUUUGAUUUAUUAUGUUUAUAUUGAAUAAACAUACUUUUUUCCCCCACAUUUAUCUUUCAGGUGUUCUACUCUGAAUAGCGCACUUCUUGCCAGCUGACUGACAUUGCACAGCAACAUGUGGGGGAAGGGGAAUGUUGCAUUACUCUAUGCUCCAUGCGGCCUGAGAAAAACUCACACCUGUACUUUCUUUCCCUGCUGUCUCAUUAAAAGGUGAACUGUAUGAGUGAUAGGACUAAGAGCUUUUGAGGUUUUUGAAACCAUCAUUACAAGACCCUGGUGUAGCUCUGCCUUUAUACUGGUGACCUAAUAUAAGCUUCUGUCAUUGAUUUGCUAAUAAAAGGCUUUGAAACUAA